rnacentral:rRNA from 1 species
AUUGAGCGCUGGCGGCAUGCCUUACACAUGCAAGUCGAACGGUAACAGGUCAAGCUGACGAGUGGCGAACGGGUGAGUAAUAUAUCGGAACGUGCCCAGUCGUGGGGGAUAACGUAGCGAAAGCUGCGCUAAUACCGCAUACGAUCUCUGGAUGAAAGCGGGGGACUCGCAAGAGCCUCGCGCGGUUGGAGCGGCCGAUAUCAGAUUAGGUAGUUGGUGGGGUAAAAGCCCACCAAGCCGACGAUCUGUAGCUGGUCCGAGAGGACGACCAGCCACACUGGGACUGAGACACGGCCCAGACUCCUACGGGAGGCAGCAGUGGGGAAUUUUGGACAAUGGGCGAAAGCCUGAUCCAGCCAUGCCGCGUGCAGGACGAAGGCCUUCGGGUUGUAAACUGCUUUUGUACGGAACGAAACGGCUCUCUCUAAUACGGGGGGCUAAUGACGGUACCGUAAGAAUAAGCACCGGCUAACUACGUGCCAGCAGCCGCCGUAA